rnacentral:rRNA from 1 species
UGCAAGUCGACGAGAAAGUGACUUCGGUCGCGAGUAAAGCGGCGAACGGGUGAGUACAACGUGGAUAAUCUACCCUAGGGUCUGGGACAACCCCGAGAAAUCGGGGCUAAUACCGGAUAAGACCACAGUAUCCGAGGAUACAGCGGUAAAAGAUUUAUCGCCCUUGGAUGAGUCCACGCCCCAUCAGGUAGUUGGUAAGGUAAAGGCUUACCAAGCCUAAGACGGGUAGCCGGCCUUAGCGGGUGAACGGCCACGUGGGGACUGAGACACGGCCCUGACUCCUACGGGAGGCAGCAGUGGGGAAUAUUGGGCAAUGGGCGAAAGCCCGACCCAGCGAUGCCGCGUGAGGGAUGAAGGCCUUCGGGUUGUAAACCUCUGUCAGGAGGGACGAUGGGACACUUGUGUCUUGACGGUACCUCCAGAGGAAGCCCCGGCUAACUCCGUGCCAGCAGCCGCGGUAAUACGGAGGGGGCAAGCGUUGCUCGGAAUUACUGGGCGUAAAGGGUCCGCAGGCUGUCAGGCAAGUUGGUUGUGAAAGCUCAAGGCUUAACCUUGGAAUUGCAUCCAAAAUUGCCUGACUAGAGUCCAAGAGAGGUUGGCGGAAUCCCCGGUGUAGCGGUGAAAUGCAUAGAUAUCGGGAGGAACACCAGAGGCGAAGCGCGGCCAACUGGCUUGGUACUGACGCUCGGGGACGAAAGCGUGGGUAGCAAACCGGAUUAGAUACCCGGGUAGUCCACGCCCUAAACGAUGGAUGCUAGGUAGGGGGGAAUUUU